AUGCCAUAAUCAUAUGAGAAUGAAGAUGUUUCAGUUGAGGAAGAGUUUUUCCACUGUAAUGAUAUUUUGCAUUGGCAGCUCAUGCCUCAGUGCUCUGGGAGUGUUUAUAGUCCUGUGAACGAUUUUAACACACAAGAUCUGUCCACUCGAAAACAGAAGCCAAUAUGAUUCUCUUCAUCUGGGCAAUUUACUGCAUCCAAGGCUCUUUGGGGCAGGUCAUUGUGACUCAACCUGAGUUUAAAUCAGUUCAGCUUGGUCAAACAGUCUCUAUUGAUUGUAAGGUCAAUACUGUAGUUUAUAGGUAUCCUGAGGGUUCAGUAUCCAAAGAUUACUACAUCUUCUGGUACAUUCAGAAGGCAGAGGAACCCCCUAAACUACUUGUAUAUUACACAACAAUGAAGCCCUCGAGUGCUCCAUCUAGAAUGAGCGGUGGAGGCAGUUUUCACUCUGGAGGAAAUGGUCUUGAUUUCACUCUGACCAUCAGUGAUGCCCAGCUUGAAGAUGCAGGAGAUUAUUACUGUCAUAGUCGACAUAAGAUAAGUGACAAAUGGGUGUUCACACAGUGAAAAAAUGCUGCACAAAAACAUCCCCUGGUCAGAUAACCGACAAUGUUGUUAUGCUUUCUUGUUUAAUCUAAUUUCUUCCAACACAGAUCUGCCCUAAUAGUAUUAAUCAAUUAAUUUCUUGCUGUUCCUGUUACAUUUUUUUCAGAUAAUUAAAUUGUAUUCUAUGAUAUUUUUCAUAUUUAAUACAGUGCUUCACAUACAGAAAAUCAUAUAUACCUCUAUAGAUACAUUUGUUCCUUAUCCUUAUAUAAGAUAAAACUCCAUUGUGUCACACAAAGUAGAAGCAGAAAUGCAUAUUCUUUAGAAAAAAAAAAAAUCUAAUAUUAAAUAGUUGUCUAAAUCUAUUCAUUGAUUCUCACAUUCAUAACAGCAAGUACAUCAUAUAUAAACUUUUAAACUGUUAUGUUUCAAACUUUAUAAAAUAUUUAUAUUUUCUAUUUAUAUCUUGUCUUAACAUGAGUAAAUAUUUGUAUAAACACACUCUAAAAAGUAAUUCAGAGGACCUGUUGCCACAACUUAAAUAAAUGCAUAUGGUUAAAAGUUAAAAAUUAUAUUUAUUGAUUUAAUUAAACCUUUUAAACUGCAAAAAUUAUUUUGCAGAGUUCUGCUCAAGCAAUAAUGUUGAUCAUUACAUUAAAUUAUUAUUGUGUGUAACAAACUCAAAUUAAAAUAAACAAUAUAAAUUGUCUUGAAAACAUUGGGAAUUGGGCAGUGCAUUUCUAAUUCCCAGCAUGCUUUGCAUAGGACUGGGAAAGGAUAAUAAAUGUUGAAAUUAAGUGUUAU